CAGCAGCCGCGGUAAUACGUAGGUGGCAAGCGUUGUCCGGAAUUAUUGGGCGUAAAGCGCGCGCAGGUGGUUUAAUAAGUCUGAUGUGAAAGCUCACGGCUCAACCGUGGAGGGUCAUUGGAAACUGUUAAACUUGAGUGCAGGAGAGAAAAGUGGAAUUCCUAGUGUAGCGGUGAAAUGCGUAGAGAUUAGGAGGAACACCAGUGGCGAAGGCGGCUUUUUGGCCUGUAACUGACACUGAGGCGCGAAAGCGUGGGGAGCAAACAGGAUUAGAUACCCCCGUAGUCCCUGUCUCUUAUAC
rnacentral:rRNA from 1 species